rfam:Adlercreutzia equolifaciens DSM 19450 DNA, complete genome.
UUCUUUCGGGUCUGUAGUUGCGGAAAGGCGCGACGUCUUUCCAAGUCCAUGGCAGAUGCGGUCGAAAGGAUCCACGUAAGCGCGUGGGCAUUGCCCGCCGUGAGCAUGGCGUAUCCUAGAGGUAAGUCGCACCGCCCGCUGACAUUUUCGCGGCACGGACGCCGCGACGGGCGAGAGGGCUACUAGCGCAAGCGAACGCCCCGGUGCGCGAGUGUGGGGUCAAAGACUAGGUCAGUCGAAAGAG